AGAGGAAGGCUGUGGUUUUCUGUCUUCAGCUCUGACUUCAAACCCCUCACACCUGAGAGAGCUGGAUCUGAGCUACAAUCAUCCAGGAGAUUCAGGAGUCAAGCUGCUCUCUGAACAACUGGAGGAUCCAAACUACACACUGGACAAACUCAAUCUGGAUCAUGGAGGACACACGAGGAUUACAGCAGGACCACGCAAAUAUGUCUGUUUCCUCACUCUGGAUCCAAACACAGCAAACACUCGACUCAUUCUGUCUGAGGAGAACAGAGAGGUGAAGAGUGUGGAGGAGAAUCAGCCGUAUCCUGAUCAUCCACACAGAUUUGAUGAUCUUCCUCAGGUGUUGUGCAGAGAGAGUGUGUGUGGACGCUGUUACUGGGAGAUUGACUGGAGUGGAGAUGAUGGUGUGUGUAUAUCAGUGUCAUAUAAGAGCAUCAGGAGGAAGGGAGGAGGUUAUGAGUGUGGGUUUGGAGAUAAUGCUCAGUCCUGGAAUUUGAUCUGCUCUUCCAUCGGUUCCUCAUUCAUACACAAUGACACAGAGACUGAUCUCCUAGUGAAGCCGCUCAGCAGUAGAAUAGGAGUGUUUGUGGAUCACAGUGCAGGAACUCUGAUCUUCUACAACAUCUAUAGAGACACAAUGAGCCUCAUCCACUCAGUCCAGACCACAUUCACUGAGCCGCUCUGUGCUGGGUUUGGGCUUUAUGAUCCUGGAUCAUCAGUGAAACUGAGCUGAAGACUGACGAGAGAUUUACCCAGAAUCCUCUGCAGGAGCAGUCAGCAGCUGUGUGUGUGUGUGCGUGUGUGUGUGUGUGUGUGUGUGUGUGUGUGUGUGUGUGUGUGUGUGUGUGUGUGUGUGUGUGUGUGUGUGUGUGUGUGUGUGUGUGUGUGUGUGUGA
ensembl:processed_transcript